GGUUAAGCGACUAAGCGUACACGGUGGAUGCCCUGGCAGUCAGAGGCGAUGAAGGACGUGCUAAUCUGCGAUAAGCGUCGGUAAGGUGAUAUGAACCGUUAUAACCGGCGAUUUCCGAAUGGGGAAACCCAGUGUGAUUCGUCACACUAUCAUUACGUGAAUACAUAGCGUAAUGAAGCGAACCGGGGGAACUGAAACAUCUAAGUACCCCGAGGAAAAGAAAUCAACCGAGAUUCCCCCAGUAGCGGCGAGCGAACGGGGAGCAGCCCAGAGUCUGAAUCAGCAUGUGUGGUAGUGGAACGGUCUGGAAAGUCCG
rnacentral:rRNA from 1 species